GGGGUUCCAGGCAUCUGUCUCCUAUAGAUCCAGGUCUCUAUCAUCUCAGCAGCUUAGCCAGCAGGUCAGGGGGUUCCAGGCGUCUGUCACCACGUAUACUGUAGGCCUCUCACACCAGCAAAUCCAGACACACACACACACUAUGUGGAUCAUGUCCCCUCUGUACUUUGAUGGCAUCGUGUUAAACUCUUCAGUCGACCACAGGGAUGUCUGACCCGACCUGUGAUUUUUAUAUUCAUGAUCGUAUCAUAUUCAUGCUUAAGUACUCUUCAAAUAAAGUAUGA
ensembl:lncRNA